GCCUGGGAAUAUGCCUUAGUGUGGGGGAUAACUAUUGGAAACGAUAGCUAAUACCGCAUAAUGUCUUCGGACCAAAGAGGGGGGACCGUUCGGGCCUCUCGCGCUAAGAUUAGUCCCAGGUGAGAUUAGCUAGUUGGUGAGGUAAGAGCUCACCAACGGCGACGAUCUCUAGCUGGUCUGAGAGGAUGAUCAGCCACACUGGAACUGGGACACGGUCCAGACUCCUACGGGAGGCAGCAGUGGGGAAUAUUGCACAAUGGGCGAAAGCCUGAUGCAGCCAUGCCGCGUGUAUGAAGAAGG
rnacentral:rRNA from 1 species